rnacentral:tmRNA from 1 species
GGUGUAUGUACUUUGUAAACAAUACAUUAUAAUAGGUCCUGUUGGUUUUCCAACUAUGGCGAUAAACGCUAUAUGAAAUAGAUGAAACGGACCCGGGGGCAGUACCCGGCACCUCCACCAUUAAAAUUUAAGGGGGUGAAAUAGCUUCGACGUGCAUUGAAAGAUAUAGUUUUUGCUCGGUAUUGUACCACCGUUAUCGGACUAUUUUAUAAACGCUAACGAUAAUAGAUUAGCUAUCGCUGCCUAAUUAAUUUAGACAAGCGCGGUAUGGGGCACCGGGCAACAGAACGCCCCACU